rnacentral:rRNA from 1 species
UACGAAGGGGGCUAACGUUGUUCGGAAUUACUGGGCGUAAAGCGCACGUAGGCGGAAUGUUAAGUCAGGGGUGAAAUCCCGGGGCUCAACCCCGGAACUGCCUUUGAUACUGGCAUUCUCGAGUCCGGAAGAGGUGAGUGGAAUUCCGAGUGUAGAGGUGAAAUUCGUAGAUAUUCGGAGGAACACCAGUGGCGAAGGCGGCUCACUGGUCCGGUACUGACGCUGAGGUGCGAAAGCGUGGGGAGCAAACAGG